rnacentral:rRNA from 1 species
CCUACGGGAGGCAGCAGUGGGGAAUCUUGCGCAAUGGGCGAAAGCCUGACGCAGCCAUGCCGCGUGAAUGAUGAAGGUCUUAGGAUUGUAAAAUUCUUUCACCGAGGACGAUAAUGACGGUACUCGGAGAAGAAGCCCCGGCUAACUUCGUGCCAGCAGCCGCGGUAAUACGAAGGGGGCUAGCGUUGCUCGGAAUUACUGGGCGUAAAGGGAGCGUAGGCGGAUAGUUUAGUCAGAGGUGAAAGCCCAGGGCUCAACCUUGGAAUUGCCUUUGAUACUGGCUAUCUUGAGUACGGAAGAGGUAUGUGGAACUCCGAGUGUAGAGGUGAAAUUCGUAGAUAUUCGGAAGAACACCAGUGGCGAAGGCGACAUACUGGUCCGUUACUGACGCUGAGGCUCGAAAGCGUGGGGAGCAAACAGGAUUAGAUACCCUGGUAGUCCACGCUGUAAACGAUGAGUGCUAGUUGUCGGCAUGCAUGCAUGUCGGUGACGCAGCUAACGCAUUAAGCACNCNCNGGAGACGUCGCAGAUAAACUACGAAGAAGUAGACGCGUGAGAGNGCGAGGACGACGACGAGGGAGGAGG